rnacentral:rRNA from 1 species
GUUAAUUCCGUUACGGACGAGACCUCGACCUGCUAAGUAGUGAUAAUGUAUUCGUACGUUAUACACUUCUUAGAGGGACAAUGAGAGUUUAUCUCAAGGAAGUUCGAGCCUAUAACAGGUCUGUGAUGCCCUUAGAUGGCCUGGGCUGCACGUGCGCUACAAUGAUAAAAACAAAUAGUUAUACCUUUAUCGAAAGAUAUGGGAAAUCUGAGAAAUUUUAUC